UUUUUUUGUUGUUUUGU
rnacentral:sRNA from 1 species